AACGCGAAGAACCUUACCAGCCUUUGACAUGUCCCGUAUGAGUACCAGAGAUGGAACUCUUCAGUUCGGCUGGCGGGAACACAGGUGCUGCAUGGCUGUCGUCAGCUCGUGUCGUGAGAUGUUGGGUUAAGUCCCGCAACGAGCGCAACCCUCGCCCUUAGUUGCCAUCAUUUAGUUGGGCACUCUAAGGGGACUGCCGGUGAUAAGCCGCGAGGAAGGUGGGGAUGACGUCAAGUCCUCAUGGCCCUUACAGGCUGGGCUACACACGUGCUACAAUGGCGGUGACAAUGGGACGCAAUGGGGAGACCCUGCGCAAAUCUCAAAAAGCCGUCUCAGUUCGGAUUGUGCUCUGCAACUCGAGCACAUGAAGUUGGAAUCGCUAGUAAUCGCAGAUCAGCACGCUGCGGUGAAUACGUUCCCGGGCCUUGUA
rnacentral:rRNA from 1 species